CGGACGGGUGAGUAACGCGUGGGUAACCUGCCUCACACAGGGGGAGUAACAGUUGGAAACGGGCUGCUAAUACCGCAUAAGCGCACAGUACCGCAUGGUACAGUGUGAAAAACUACCGGUGGUGUGAGAUGGACCCGCGUCUGAUUAGCUAGUUGGCAGGGCAACGGCCUACCAAGGCGACGAUCAGUAGCCGACCUGAGAGGGUGACCGGCCACAUUGGGACUGAGACACGGCCCAAACUCCUACGGGAGGCAGCAUG
rnacentral:rRNA from 1 species